AACCAGCACCUCAAGUGGUCAGGAUGAUUAUUGGGCCUAAAGCAUCCGUAGCCUGCUUUGUUAGUUUUCGGUUAAAUCCAUGUGCUCAACGCAUGGGCCGCCGAAAAUACUGCACAGCUAGGGAGUGGGAGAGGUAGACGGUACUCGGUAGGAAGGGGUAAAAUCCUUUGAUCUAUCGAUGACCACCUGUGGCGAAGGCGGUCUACCAGAACACGUUCGACGGUGAGGGAUGAAAGCUGGGGGAGCAAACCGG
rnacentral:rRNA from 1 species